rnacentral:rRNA from 1 species
AACGAACGCUGGCGGCAUGCCUAACACAUGCAAGUCGAACGAGCCCUUCGGGUCUAGUGGCGCACGGGUGCGUAUAGCGUGGGAACCUGCCCUUAGGUUCGGAAUAACUCCCCGAAAGGGGUGCUAAUACCGGAUAAUGUCUUCGGACCAAAGAUUUAUCGCCUUUGGAUGGGCCCGCGUUGGAUUAGCUAGUUGGUAGGGUAAAAGCCUACCAAGGCGACGAUCCAUAGCUGGUCUGAGAGGAUGAUCAGCCACACUGGGACUGAGACACGGCCCAGACUCCUACGGGAGGCAGCAGUGGGGAAUAUUGGACAAUGGGCGAAAGCCUGAUCCAGCAAUGCCGCGUGAGUGAUGAAGGCCUUAGGGUUGUAAAGCUCUUUUACCCGGGAUGAUAAUGACAGUACCGGGAGAAGAAGCCCCGGCUAACUCCGUG